GACGAACGCUGGCGGCGUGCUUAACACAUGCAAGUCGAACGGAAAGGCCCUGCUUUUGUGGGGUGCUCGAGUGGCGAACGGGUGAGUAACACGUGAGUAACCUGCCCUUGACUUUGGGAUAACUUCAGGAAACUGGGGCUAAUACCGGAUAGGAGCUCCUGCUGCAUGGUGGGGGUUGGAAAGUUUCGGCGGUUGGGGAUGGGCUCGCGGCUUAUCAGCUUGUUGGUGGGGUAGUGGCUUACCAAGGCUUUGACGGGUAGCCGGCCUGGGAGGGUGACCGGCCACAUUGGGACUAAGAUACGGCCCAGACUCCUACGGGAGGCAGCAGUGGGGAAUAUUGCACAAUGGGCGGAAGCCUGAUGCAGCAACGCCGCGGGCGGGAUGACGGCCUUCGGGUUGUAAACCGCUUUCGCCUGUGACGAAGAGUGAGUGACGGUAAUGGGUAAAGAAGCAACGGCUAACUACGUG
rnacentral:rRNA from 1 species